rnacentral:rRNA from 1 species
CAGUCGCCGCGGUAAUACGUAGGUGGCAAGCGUUGUCCGGAAUUACUGGGCGUAAAGGGCUCGCAGGCGGUUUCUUAAGUCUGAUGUGGAAGCCCCCGGCUCAACCGGGGAGGGUCAUUGGAAACUGGGAAACUUGAGUGCAGAAGAGGAGAGUGGAAUUCCACGUGUAGCGGUGAAAUGCGUAGAGAUGUGGAGGAACACCAGUGGCGAAGGCGACUCUCUGGUCUGUAACUGACGCUGAGGAGCGAAAGCGUGGGGAGCGAACAGGAUUAGAUACCCCUGUAGUCCCUGUCUCUUAUAC